rnacentral:rRNA from 1 species
UCUUAGACAAUGGGCGCAAGCCUGAUCUAGCCAUGCCGCGUGAGCGAUGAAGGCCUUAGGGUUGUAAAGCUCUUUCAGAUGGGAAGAUAAUGACGGUACCAUCAGAAGAAGCCCCGGCUAACUCCGUGCCAGCAGCCGCGGUAAUACUGAGGGGGCUAGCGUUGUUCGGAAUUACUGGGCGUAAAGCGCGCGUAGGCGGAUUGGAAAGUUGGGGGUGAAAUCCCGGGGCUCAACCUCGGAACUGCCUUCAAAACUCCCAGUCUUGAGUUCGAGAGAGGUGAGUGGAAUUCCGAGUGUAGAGGUGAAAUUCGUAGAUAUUCGGAGGAACACCAGUGGCGAAGGCGGCCCACUGGCUCGAUACUGACGCUGAGUGCGAA